GCAUAAUGAGAUUUUAAUUCACAGUAACUGGCCAAUUAUACAUAUAUGUUGUCUGUUUGAAGUUUGAACUCAGAUGACGUCAGUUAGUGGAGGUUCUACAGUAUCGUCGAUAUUUUCUAAUACAAUAAUGAAUGAAAAGGAAGAAAAGAUUUAAGAAUUAGUUAUAGUAACUUUCAAGCUUGUUUCCGCAAUUAAUGUUAAUUAAUUGAUUUUAAUUUAGCUCUCACAUAAUUCAAUUAUUUAGUAUAAAUAUUAUUUACCGUAUUAUAGCUAUAAUACCAAUUGUGGACAUCUAUUUUUACAAAUAUGACUACAUUAUAACGAAGUAGUAUUCCCGUAACUGAAAUUAGUCACCAAACGCUGUAAUGGUGCAGUGUUGCCGUUUUCGGUAUAGUGCAAAUUUACUCCAGCUUUGAUAUUGCAUGAUUGAAGCUUGUAUUCAAAUAUAAGAUAACACUAUACUUGCCUUCGGUGGAUGUACAGGGUGUCCCCAAAAAAGUGACACUAUAGAAAUUAUCUCAUUGUUCUUAAACCGCUUUUAAAGCGCGUGCUUAAACACCUGGGAACUUAACGACAUUGUAUUUAUAUACAUUUAAACAUUUUAAAACGGAUUCCAUAAAUACGUUUUGCUGAGUGCGGUUAACUGCGGUUACAUUCAAUAUUAGGUUAAAUUGUGUUACAAGAAAUACUCGUUGCUCUGUGGUCAAUUGGACCAUUAUUGUUACUCCAACCAGUGGCGGCGCAAGGGGGGGCAAGGGGGCCGCCCCCAUUCCCCCCUAAAAACAAUUAUUAGUCACAAAGAGCGACUAAAGGCUACACAGGGCCGUAGCUAGCAUGUAUAGUAGGGGUGUAGGCCAAAUAUUUCCGAAUCGGACGAAGAAAAUUUCCGAAUAUUUCAUGGCAUACGAAGCCACGAAGGUGUUUGCUAUUCGGAAAAUGAAGAUGCAAUUUACAAACAAAAAUACACAUAGUUUACGCAAAGACAUAUUACAGAAGCAUGCAGUGCCCUAGGAAGCUCUUUUUUAUUGGGGGCUGGGAACGAGGGCCGAAGGGCCGAGGAAAUUUUUAAAUUUAGAUUCUCUGAAAUGCCAUUUGCUACACUUUGGGUGGGGAAGUUUUGACAGAAAUAAUCAGUUUGAUCAUCUGAUUUUCAAUUUCCCGUUUGUAAUGCAAAAUGUCUUAUAUAAAAACGGCAAACUAAUUCGCAAGGCUAUAUUAUCCGCAUUUUACAACAUUCAACGGAACUUCGGAAUAUUACUAAUUUUGUGAUGCUUUUUCAAGCUGUGGUGAAAUUUUUGUCCAGCCUUGACUAGAUCAAAAAUUUCACUCAAAUGGGGGGAAAUUAAGGUCUAUUGUAGAGGUGUGCAAAUCCGAUUCGAAUCCAAUCGGAUUCGUUCGGAUUUCGGAACCAAAAUGUAAAUUUCGGAUCGGAUUGAUAAAGUUGUUUCGUAGUCGGAUCGGACUUCGAUAUCCGAAAUAAAAUGAAUUAAUUAUCCAUGCGUUGUCGCAAGAAUUAAUUAUCCAUACAUUUAUCAAAGUAUCAUCGCGGUUUUCGCUGCAUUAUUCGUUUGAUACUUCAAUUGAACGUCACUUUGUCACUAAUUGUCAGCUUCUUGACAUGUAUUUCUUGCUUUUAUAUUUGGUUAAAUAGUUCAACUUGAAUGAGAAAUUUAUUUUAUUAAAGAAUUCUUCGGAUUGGAUCGGAUUGUAAUUCUUUUUCAAAACUCGGAUCGGAUUCGGAUUAGACAAUUUCGGAUCGGAUUUUAAACAUUAGGCAAUUGUCGGAUUAUAAACGUCCAAUCCGAUCCGAUGAACACCUCUAAUCUAUUGUCAGUAUUUUAAAGGUAUAUUAUUCAAAUGAUAAAGGAGUGCAUGAUUUUGAAAAAAGAACGAUAACCAGCAAAUUAUUGUAAGGGCUGCUGGCCCCAGUCCCCCCCUCCCCUCCCCCCUCCGGUCGGCUACGGCCCUGAGAAGUAAUAAACCGAAAAACAUUUACUGAUUUACGAUUUGUUUUACGUUAUCCAUGUAAAUGCCGUGAUUUCGUAAAUCAGUUUAUACCAAUGGUUUAUACUGACAAUACCAUUUUAUAAUAUUUUCUCUGUUUAAACAACUAAAAUUUUGUUAUACUAUUAUUGCCGUAAUUUUCCGAAUGGCCAACCCGAUUUUCCGAAUAUGUUAAUUCUACAAAAGUUGGGGG
rnacentral:lncRNA from 1 species